UACAGAGGGGGCCAGCGUUAUUCGGAAUUAUUGGGCGUAAAGGGCGCGUAGGCGGCCACGCGUGUCUUCCGUGAAAUCCCUCGGCUCAACUGAGGACGUGCGGAAGAAACUGCGAGGCUCGAGUCCAGAAGAGGGGGGCGGAAUUCCCAGUGUAGCGGUGAAAUGCGUAGAUAUCUGGAGGAACACCGGUGGCGAAGGCGGCAUCCUGGACCGGUAUUGACGCUGAGGCGCGAAAGCUAGGGGAGCAAACGGG
rnacentral:rRNA from 1 species